UCUGUGUACAUACAUGCAAACAAGUACAUGUAAAACUGGUGAAAUCUGAAUAAGGUUCAUGGAUUAUAUCAAUGUCAGUUUCCUGAUUCUGACAGUGUAUCGUACUUAUGCGAGAUGAGUGAGACAAAAUGAGUAAGGGAUAUGUGAGAUCUUUGUCUUAUUUCUUACAACUGCAAAAUAAAAAGUUUUUAAAACUAAGUUAUAAUAACACAAAAAGAACUCUGUGUCAAAACUAAGAUGCAAAGUUUAAAUAUUGAUUUUAUUUUUUAGGAAUCUGGUGGACAGUAACAAACUUUGGUGAAAUUUCAGGAACCAUGGCCACUGAAAUGGAUAAGGGAACCUAUAUACAUGCACUCGACAAUGGCCUUUUUACCCUGGGAGCUCCACACAAAGAAGUUGAUGAGGGCCCUAGUCCUCUGGAGCAGUUGAUGACUGUCAAAUUAUCCGAUUCCAGAAUUGCCCUGAAAUCUGGCUAUGGGAAAUAUCUUGGUAUCAAUUCACAUGGGCUUGUUGUUGGGCGUUCAGAUGCAUUUGGACCAAGAGAACAAUGGGAACCAGUCUUUCAAAAUGGGAAAAUGGCUUUAUUGGCUUCAAAUAGCUGCUUUAUUAGAUACAAUGAAGCUGAGGACAUAGAAGUAAAAAGUAAGACAGCAGGAGAAGAAGAAAUGAUCAAGGUAAUUAUGACAUUUUAUACAGAUAACUACAUUCACACAUGCAAUGUGACUAUCUCUUUAAAAUGUUAAACAUCAUUUAUUGUCACUUUGAAGAUUUAGUUGAUAGCUUUUUAUAAUGUGAUAUUUCAAAUGGACUCAUUUUUUAUUAUAAAUCCCAUACUUGAUGGCUUGUUUGUACAAUGUGAUAGAGAAAUCAGUGCAUCUAGGAGCUACCUUGCCGUUAUCUCCAUGGAUUACUAUCUCUUUUGAGUAGUUCUACAUGAUCUUUUUAGGCUUUCGUUUUCUUGUUUUCUUGCUUGUAUUUUAAAAUCUAAUUUUUAAAAUCGAUAAUAUGUACACGUGGUUCAACAUUUUUAAAUAAAAGCGUAUGAAGACAUCUGACUGCCGUGCGUCUUACUCACCUGUGUCCCAGCUCCUGUUCCUAUCUCUUCCCCUUGGUUUUGUUUUUUUAUAGCCUCCUAAAAUUUCUUUAUAAACACAUGAAUAUGUUUAUAAUUUUCAACUGUUUUACACUAAAGGUUGCCUCCUCUAUAGUCUUCUAGACUUUGAUUUUUUUUUUCCUUAACAUUGUAUCUUGGAGAGUUUUCUACUAUUAGUUUGAACGUAGGAAGUUUUCUCUUUUUCUUGCUUUUCCUUUCUUUCCCUCUCUUUUUUAACAGCCGCAUAAUAUUCAUUUUAGGGAUGUACCUUAAUUUGUUUAGUCUCUUAUAGAUGGAAAUGUAGGCUGUUUCCAGUCUUUUGCUCAUAUCCACAGUGCUGCAGUACAAAACAUUGAAUAUGCAUCCAUUUGUAGAUGUGCGGGUGGACCUGAAGAUAAAUUUCCAGAAGCAGAAUUACCAGGUCAGGGGUAUAUGCGUUUGUAUUUAUGUAAUGCUUGAGCUUCCAUCAUGAUAAUAACUCUAUGAAACAUUAAAAACCAUAGCAGAACUACUGGGGCUUUAGCCCUCACAUCUAAAAAAUAUUUUUAUUAAUAGUACCAGUCUUCUUUGCAUUAGGAAAAACAUGAAUCACAUAAAACAUGAUUUUUAUUUUAUUUUUACCAUUUGUGUGUGUCACUAAGCUGGAAAUAAAAGUUCCUUAUUCCAGGCUGAAUUCCUCAUCCAUAGUCAGAUGCGUUAUCCAUUGCACCAGGCACUGGCCUGGUUCCUCCCUAAUCCUACUCUUUGUUUUAUACCAUUGUAAAAGUUACACAGACAUCUUCAUAUCAAGGUGAAAUUCUAAAUAAUACUGUUAAUAUAACCUAGAUAAAUCAGGUAGUUAGCUGGAAUUUGAUGAAAACAUUUAAGGCUUAAUUUUUUAGACUCAGCAAAAGCCAGUGAUCUUUCAUGAUAAACAUAUACUAAAAUGUAUCUAGAGAAUGACUCCCUCCUUCUUGACACAUGAUUUUUCUGUUCCUUGGCAUUCCUUCCCGGUAGGGAGCAUCCUGAACCUUGCUUUGUCUGUCUCUGUUGGGAAUCACAGGUUGCAUCCAGUCUGACCCAGAUUUGCUGUGUGACGCAUUGUGGGGGCCGGAGUGGAAGGCUCUAAGAGAUGGGGGAAACGCCUUUUCUAAAAUGCCCUUCGUUCUUAUAAUUAGAGCAUAAAAAUUUAUGUUACAUUUUUCUCUACUACCAGUGUAAUUUAAAAGCCUGUAUCAAAUGUCUGUACGUGCUUCAUGUUAGAUUUCCAGUCGUAUGUUUGAUUUCUUUUUACAAUAGUCUUGAUUUCAAAUAAUUUCAAAUCUAAAGCUCAAACAAUUUCAAUCUAAAAUGUAGGUAUUGUUGUUAGAGAAGUGAAAUGUUAGUUAUGUUUUUUGAUUGCAUGUACCCGGCACAUGUGUUGUAGUCUCAAAUCUCCAUCAGGCUCCUGUGAGGUGGAUGUGAGCUCAGCCUUAGAGACAGGAAGACAGCCUCUGACCCUCCUUACAUCCUUGUGGUUUUUGUCAGUCAGUUCAUGGAAAUCACAUAGUGAUUUCAAGGUGUGGUAAAGACAGGAUGUGUACCCAGGCCCAGCUAACUCCUAAGCCACUCAAUAUUUCGUGGCGUAUUGCUUCUCAGGAAACAAGUCAUUGGGGAAAUGCAGAUGGGUUUGUGACUUAUCUUUAAUUUUAUUUAUUUAUAUUUUAUUGUGUCAUGUUUAUUUUUCAUCUGGAUAUCAUCACAAAAGUGUUAUCGAAGGCAACAAUUGCAAAUAUAUGUACAGUGCUUUGCACUUACACAAAGAUGCAAAGAUACUUAUACAAAGAUUGUGUGUUUCACUAUUUAAAGCAGUUUUCAGAUUAAAUACAAAGUUUUCUGGGUCUCUUUGGUUAGUCAAGUACCUGGAAGCUCUGAACAGUGAUUAUUUAGGACUCUUUUCCUUUACCAUUUAAUUGCAGGCUCUCCUAAUCUUUGUCAGCCAUUCACCUUUAUGACCUUGCCUUAUCUACCAGAACACAGAUCCCUCUUACUAAAGGCAGCAUUGUGUUACAGGCCCUAGCAGGGAAUGUUUUCAGGUCUUCUAGGACCCUCUAAUCAAAACUGUCACAAAGAUGUCAUUGGCACAAACACAUUAUUUGUCAUUACUUUCUAAGCAGUCCUGGAAUUGGACUCUGGCCACAGAGAUUCUUAGGAGACGUGAGUCCUUACCUCUGCCAAUUGCCUGUUCUGUGGGUGAUCCUAAUUGUUGAAUGCAGAUCAGUUAACUUAUGACAUGUGAUAGUAAAUAUCUAUCCAAACUUUGGAGGAUAUAAGAAGUUAGUAAAAGAGGUGGGUUCCAAUUAAUUAAAAACAAGUUGUGUAAUGUUAAAAGUUUUAAUACAUUUGGUGAUAGUCUGUGCGACGUAAAAUAGCGAUCUUAAGCUUUCAGUCUGAUCAAGUGAACACUUGUCUACUAGGGAUAAUUUGAUCCUAGUGUAUUCACUGGGAGGACAAAAUUAAAUUAAUGAUUGCUUUAUCGCCUAGCAGGAUCUGAUGUGUAAAAUGUUUUUGAAAUAAUUUUGUCUGUAGUGUUUCUGACCUAAGGGCUGCGGAGGAAGCAUGUGGUAGCAGUUACUCAUAUAGAUUAAAUAUGUGAAGUAAAAACACAUAGCCAAAACCCACCUUUUUCUGAAUAUAGUUGAUCAGUUAAUUUUUUCUUCUGCAUAAGAAAUCAUCUCGAAUGUUCUUAUGUGAUACGUAAAGUGGGGAAGGUGGAAGAUAAACAUAUAAGCCAUUGGAUUCUCUUUUCCAGUAUCUAGAUUACAUCCUGUGCUGAAAGAGAAACCAAGAAAAAGAUGACAUUCCAGAAGAAGACAAAGGAAAUGUAAAACAAUGUGAAAUCAAUUAUGUGUAUGUGUUCUUUUCCUUUUAGACCUACAGAUUUGACAGUGAAGUGCUUCUCAAAGUACUUUCAAAAUACAUUACCUAAUUAAUUGGGGAUGGUGGUGUAUGCCUGUAGGCCAAGCUACUCGGGAGGCUGAGACAGGAGGAUUGUUUGAGCCCAGGAGUCCAAGGCUGCAGUGAGCUCUGAUAACCACUGCAUUCCAGCCUGGAUGAUGGAGCAAGACCCUCUCUGACAAAAUUAAAUUAAAACUGAUGGACAAGAAGAGGCAACGCAAUGUAGCCUCUGGGACAGAGCCCUGAGCUCAGUGCUUUUCUCAAGGCUUCAGUUUUCCGAAUCAUCCUACAGCUCUCAAAGCGAACGUCAUCCGGGUUAGUCCGUCUCCCUGUUCGUUCAUCGAAUGGGUGUGAUGCCAGUCAAAGGCUGUGCUAGGGCCAGGACACGGGGGACUCCAGCCGGCAUGCCCUAAUAGAAGUGGGGCCUUAUGGUUCUUCCCAAUGAGCGGCCCUCCUUUUGAGGGGUCACGGAGGUCAUCUUUGUGGUUGAAAAGCUCCAGCUUAUUAAAAAAAAAUACAAUUAGACUUUUUUUUUUUUUUUGUCUCCCCUAAGACAGAGUCUCUCUCUGUCGCCCAGACUGGAGUGCAGUGUUGUGAUCUCGGCUCAUCGCAGCCUUCGCCUCCCAGGUUCAUGUGAUUCUCCUGCCUCAGCCUCCUGAGUAGCUGGGACUACAGGCACGUGCCACUAUGCUCAGCUAAUUUUUGUAUUUUUAGUAGAGAUGGGGUUUCACCAUGUUGGCCAGGCUGUUCUCGAACUUCUGACCUCAAGUGAUCUGCCUGCCUUGGCCUCCCAAAGUGCUGGGAUUGCAGGCAUGAGCCACUGCGCCUGGCCUACAGUUAGACUUUUUUAAUAAGUGAAAAAGAAAUUAGCAGUAUUUAUAAAUUUAAUAGUAAAUAUGUAUAAUCAGAGUUUGAGGUAUUUUUCAAUGAAGACAUUUUCUUUGCAAAAAGAAAUUUCAGAGCUUCCAAGACCACAAACUUAGCAUAAGUAAAGAAGAAGGUAAAAUUCUUAAAAAGGCUCGGAAAGAUGGAUUUUUGCAUGAGACGAUUCUGGACAGGUAGCUAUUUACUUAUUUCCACUAUUUUCAGUAGCCAAUAGAAAUGGUGUGUAGAAAACCUGUGUUCUCUUAAAUUACUAUACUUUUCACAUUUUUGUCUUUAUUUCUAAUUUAUGAAUGUGGCAAUAUUACUUAGAGAGGACAUCAUAAGUUUGGGAAAAGACUGUCAAGAAAGAAUAUCUAAAAAUUAUAACCAAUUCUAAGUAUAUACUUUAAGAAAUUCAGGUUUGACUGAAUUCAGGUUUGACUGACCUACUUCAGAAAUUUAUCAUUAUCUUUUUAUAACUAUUAGAACCAGAAUUAGAAAGAAGCAGUUUGACUAAUAUAAAAAUUAUGUGGAUUCUGUUAGAGUGGUUCAGGUUCCUUAAAAUAAGAAUAGAUCAGCUAAAAAUCUAAAAGCCACACAAGUGAAAUUGAAGCAGUUUUAUUGUAAGAUUUGGAAAAGUGCAGGAUGUUUGUCAUAGCACAUUAUUAAUAUUUAUUAUUCUUCCUAUGUGGAUAAGUAAUGUCCUAGAUUUACAACGUAGGAAAACAGGCAGAGACGUUUAGCUGUAAGUGUCCAAGUAUAAAUCAAUUAAGUGCCAGAUUUUGAUAAUCACCAGCCGCUCAUUGAAGUCCUAUGUUGCAAAGUUACUCUUACCCUUUUUUUACAUUUCUUGAUAAGGCAAUGUUUAAUUACAUAUUUCCUGUUAACUAGCUGGUAGACUUCAUACCUAAAGUUAGUACAUAAUGUUAAGAAUUUUUUCCAGCCGAGCAAAUGAAUAUGUAUCUAGAUGGAAGAAAUCAAGAAGAGGAUAUAAAAUACAAUCAGGACGUGGAUUCUAAAAUGGCAUAAGCUCUGUGUCCUGUAACUUUUAUCACUUCUAAUAAUACAGCAUUCUCACCCUGUUGAAUGGAAAUUUAGAGCACCCUUAAAUUCCAGAAUAAUUAAAAUUGCUAUUGUGGAUUGAAAAAGCCCUUAGACAAUGUUUAUUGACUAUUAGGAAAUAACUUUUAUAAGAUUAGAAUCCAUUUUUUAUAGAAACCAAAUUUAAAAGUAUACAUAUUUCAAUAUAAGUGUUGUGGUAAUAACCAAAAUUGACCACACAGUUUUAAAGCUUUUUAUAUUUAGUAGCAGUUGAAUAUAUACGGCAUGUUUUACAUAGUUUAAUUGUAUUAUUUUUCUUUGCUUAGGAGAGCCAAAUUGAAAGCCGACAGAUACUGCAAAUGAGUGGGAUUUUUGUUUCUGCCUUAUCUUUUUGUGUUUUUUUCUGAAUAAAAUACGCAGAGGAAAUGCUUUUACAGAGUUCUUGAGUUGUUGUGAAAUUACUGUUUAGUAACUAGUUUAACCAGGAUUAAACAAGCUUAAUCAAGAUUCUUCAUGGAUGUACUUUUUAGCUAACUACAAUUUUGCACACGGAAAUGAAACUUAUAGUACACACUUAAUGUACCACAGAAUUUUUUUCUGGAUUUCCUGUCCUAAAGCAUGCAGUGUACUAGAAACCAAUUCUUCCUGCGCUGCUUGUGGAAUCUGUCUUACUGGAUCAUAGUCUUUACUUUAUACAAUAGAUGCUUGAUCAGUGCCUUUCAUGGGAAGUUAGAAAUUCCCAAUCCAAUCAACAAGGCUUUGAUUCUGCCUCCGAAGUACUACCCAGAUCACAGGCAGCCCAAAUGUCAGAACUAGGGGGCCAGGUGGAGAGGACAAACCAUCUGUUAGGGAGUGGGACCGAAAGUGGAAACAUUACAAAAGAGCAAGUAGGCUCAGAACAGAGGGGAGGUCAGUGCUGGGGAAUCUCCCUACUGAGGACGGGUCAGCCACAGUGGAUAUGUAUGGGAAGCUUUUGUCCUUGUGGCCUGGAAUGGAAGCUGAAGAAGUUCAGAUGCUAAGUGUUGCUUAGGUCUGCUUUGUUGAAGCCUGUCUCUUUCAGAGUUCCUAAACACAAUAUUCCCGUGGCAUCUAAUCCCAGUGAGUACUCCACACCCAGGCUGGGGAUCAGAAGUCACGGGAAAUUCUGCCUCAGGACUGAGGUUGGUUCAAGCAUCUGGAUGUUGUCAAAAGUCCACGUUGUGUGCUGGCCUAACCUGAAAGACCCUAUCAAGUUCUAGCCUUUGAAUUCCAUCAGUCACCAGAUCUAGAGUUACAUGGCAUCUGUACAAGCUCGGUAGCUGAGGCACGGGAUCAGGCCUAGAAAGGAGUUUUUGGAGCAUUUUUGUAGGUCUAGCUUCAGCUUGGCCCUCCAGUUCCGAUAGCUGCACUUUGUCUCAUCUUGGGUUCUGAUCCUUGGAUUGGGAACAAAGUAACUACUCUGAUCCCGCAAAGCAGUGAUUCUUGUUCCCAACUGGUGACGAUUUUGCCUCCCAGGGGACAUUUUUGGUUUUCACAUCGGGGAUACGGUGUUAGAGGGUAGAGGUUAGGGAUGCUGCGAAGCACGUGGCCAAAUCCUGUUCCGCCCAGAAUGUUAAUAGUGCCAAGGUUGUGCAACCUUCCCACCCAAGGGCCUGGUCUAUUCCUUGCUUUUGACGGCUCCCUAACCCUUAAACACAACAGUUCAAAUUUAUCUGCAUAAGCGUCUCCGAGGGACCUGCACGUUUCCAAUGUCGACUGCCCAGACCCAUCCGUGGAGACGCAGGCUUAGCAGGUCUAGGACUAGGUUCCAUAUUUGCAUGUGAACAAGUACUCCAGGUUAUUCCGAAGCAAGUGAUACGAAGCACACACAUUGAGGAUCACCGCCUUCACGAGACUGAAUCUUGCCUCCCACUUGGUAUCUGAGACCAUCUGCCUGCUGACUGGUUUUCCUGGCACAAACAUUCUACAUGCAGGCACAGUGUGUUCUUGGACUCCAUGUCACCUCGUUCACCCUCAUGUUCCCUCGGUUCCUGACCCCAGUCCAGCGAGCAGAACUAAUUACAGAUCUUGACAACAGAAGAUACAGAUUUGAAAUAAUACAUUGCCUAUUCCCAUGGACUUUAUCCACUAGUGAAGGAGGAGAAGUGGACAAAUGGAGAGGGUAGGUGGAGUCUCCAUCCCUGUUUCUCCCAUUCCGCUUUAUACUAACCCCAGCUAGACCAUUGGGAGAGCAACAAGAGGUUAAGAAUGACUGUAUCUAAAUAUUGUCAUCUGGUCCACUCUUCUUCCAUCUUGAACACAAGGAUAUCAUGAGUUUUGUUUAAACCACUACUGAGACCAAGAUGAACUCUGGCUUAGGCCCUGACAGAUCAGUAGCUAGUAAUCUUAUCAAAGCCAAGAUUACCUAAAAGCACUAACCAAAGGAAAAGCUCACACACUCCAACCUGUGACUGCUCACAUUUUUCAGAUUGAAUAAUUUCAAUUGUAUUUUAGGUUCAUUGACUCUUUACCACCUCCAAGCUGCUCCUGAAGACAACUGAUUAUUAUUUUUUAACUUGGAAAACUUUCUCACUUCUAGAAUUUCCACUUGAACCUUUGUUAUUAUUGUAGUUUCUUCUUGUCUACUGUGAUUUCCUAUCCAUUUACUAUAAGGGUUUUUGGAGUUUUUAUUUUAGUAAGAAUUAUAAUAACUACUUUAAAAAUGCACACUAAUUCCAACAUCUGGGUCAUCUUGAGGUCAGUCUCUAUUGAUUGCCUUUUUCUAUGAAUAUGUUUAUGUGUUUGAUAUAAUGGGAUUGAAUCCUGAAGAUUGCAAAAACUGGAUUUUGUUUUGUUCCUCUGAAAAUUUUGAUAAUUUUAUGUUAUAUUUGUUUGAUUUUUUUUUCUAUUGUAUACUUUACAUUUUCCUCCAAGGGUUUUAA